GGAGAUAGUGACUAUCCCAGCAAGAAGUGGCUACUGACUCCAUACCUCAGACCACAGCCUGGAGCACAGUCUUCUUAUAACAGGGUCCACAAGAAAACCCGCAGCGUUGUUGAGAGGCAUCGGGCAGCUGAAGCCACAUUUUCACAUGCUACACAGUGAGAUCCGAGUUGGUCCUCCAUCCAAGGUCUGCCAAAUUGUAGAGGUUUGUGCAUUGCUGCACAACAUCUGCAAAGCAAGAAACAUCAUUCUUCCUGAGGAAGAAGAACAUCUUGCUGCAGCCGAGGAUGGAGGCAACGAGGAGCGACUCUAGCACAGAAAGUUCAAAGUCGCCAUGAAGUAAUCCUUUACAGGGAUGAAUUUGUUGUGCUUCACUUCAACAUUGAUGAGUGAUGAGACACCAGUGUCAUGACUGCUGAGAUUGGUGUUAUUCUCAUGUGGAUGAUCUCCUCCUCAUCCACAAACACCAGUGAUGUACCAGGCAAGUCUGGCCCCUGUUGGUGCUGCAAGUGGUGUGGCAGGUGCCUCCUCCUCAACACCCACUGCCUCGGUCACCACUUCUCUCUGUUGGGCUGCCUCUGCCACUUCCCCAGCAUCAUCUGCUGCCUGCACACUGCUGGCAUCAUUAGUUCUAACUUCAGAAACUAAGCUGAUAAUGUUUUUGGUUUUAUUGCUAAGGACAAAAGUAACAGAAACCAGUAAAUCUAGCUAAGGGUA